rnacentral:rRNA from 1 species
AGUGAACGCUGGCGGUAGGCCUAACACAUGCAAGUCGAACGGCAGCACAAGAGAGCUUGCUCUCUGGGUGGCGAGUGGCGGACGGGUGAGGAAUACAUCGGAAUCUACCUUUUCGUGGGGGAUAACGUAGGGAAACUUACGCUAAUACCGCAUACGACCUUCGGGUGAAAUCAGGGGACCUUCGGGCCUUGCGCGGAUAGAUGAGCCGAUGUCGGAUUAGAUAGUUGGCGGGGUAAAGGCCCACCAAGGCGACGAUCCGUAGCUGGUCUGAGAGGAUGAUCAGCCACACUGGAACUGAGACACGGUCCAGACUCCUACGGGAGGCAGCAGUGGGGAAUAUUGGACAAUGGGCGCAAGCCUGAUCCAGCCAUACCGCGUGGGUGAAGAAGGCCUUCGGGUUGUAAAGCCCUUUUGUUGGGAAAGAAAAGCAGCCAGUUAAUACCUGGUUGUUCUGACGGUACCCAAAGAAUAAGCACCGGCUAACUUCGUGCCAGCCGCCGCCGUAA